CAGUCGCCACGGUAAUACGGAGGGUGCAAGCGUUAUCCGGAUUCACUGGGUUUAAAGGGUACGUAGGCGGGCAGUUAAGUCAGUGGUGGAAUCUCCGGGCUCAACCCGGAAACUGCCGUUGAUACUAUCUGUCUUGAAUACCGUUGAGGUGAGCGGAAUAUGUCAUGUAGCGGUGAAAUGCUUAGAUAUGACAUAGAACACCGAUUGCGAAGGCAGCUCACUAAACGGUCAUUGACGCUGAGGCACGAAAGCGUGGGGAUCAAACAGGAUUAGAUACCCCCGUAGUCCCUGUCUCUUAUAC
rnacentral:rRNA from 1 species